rnacentral:rRNA from 1 species
UCGUUAGUGGCGAACGGCUGAGUAACGCGUAGGUGACCUGCCCCGAAGUGGGGGAUAACUGCCCGAAAGGGUGGCUAAUACCGCAUGUGGCGACACUUUCAUUGGUGUCAUCAAAGCCGCGAGGCGCCUCGGGAGGGGCCUGCGUCCGAUUAGCUCGUUGGUGGGGUAAUGGCUCACCAAGGCGACGAUCGGUAGGUGGUCUGAGAGGACGAUCACCCAGACUGGGACUGAGACACGGCCCAGACUCCUACGGGAGGCAGCAGUCGGGAAUUUUGCUCAAUGGGCGAAAGCCUGAAGCAGCAACGCCGCGUGAGGGAUGAAGGCCUUCGGGUUGUAAACCUCUUUUUCCAGGGACGAUAAUGACGGUACCUGAAGAAUAAGUCACGGCUAACUACGUGCCAGCAGCCGCGGUAAUACGUAGGUGACAAGCGUUGUCCGGAUUUACUGGGCGUAAAGAGCGCGCAGGCGGUCGUUCAAGUCGAGUGUGAAAGCCCCCGGCUCAACUGGGGAGAGUCACUCGAUACUGAUCGACUCGAAGGCAGGAGAGGGAAGCGGAAUUCCCGGUGUAGUGGUGAAAUGCGUAGAUAUCGGGAGGAACACCAGUGGCGAAGGCGGCUUCCUGGCCUGUUCUUGACGCUGAGGCGCGAAAGCCAGGGGAGCAAACGGGAUUAGAUACCCCGGUAGUCCUAGCCGUAAACGAUGGACACUAGGUGUUGGUGGUAUCAACCCCACCAGUGCCGAAGCUAACGCAUUAAGUGUCCCGCCUGGGGAGUACGGCCGCAAGGCUAAAACUCAAAGGAAUUGACGGGGCCCCGCACAAGCAGCGGAGCGUGGGGUUUAAUUCGAUGCAACGCGAAAAACCUUACCAGGGCUUGACAUGACCAGGAAUCCGGCGGAAACGUCGGC